AUGUUUCAUAUAACUCAAUCAGACGCCCGUAAUACUUCCCUGCAGCGAGACCUUCUAGUCCCACUCUUCUCCAACAGAGCUCCCUCACUGAGCGAGCAUUCGGCAUUCCUAGUAUGCUCCACUCAUUCUACGCCAAGCACCCAAUCACGGGAUCAGAAUCACACUCUAGAUCAUACCUUUCACGAAAGAAAAGGACAGGCAGCCGCUGCUAAACCAAGAUCUCCAUCUCUUGACUCC
rnacentral:rRNA from 1 species